AUGGUGCAUUGGAUUUUGCUUCCGCCAUAUUUGGAUGGGCCCCUACACAAUCAGAGGACACCUCUCAGAGCCAGAGCGUGAGCGAGAGAUCCGACAGUUCUUAUAACCUGGCGCGCGUUCCUUCUGAUUGGGUUGAUUUGCCUCCUCCUGAUUAUACUUAUGAUCCAGAUAUCUACGAGAGCCAUCGGCACUCGUCCCGAUUUUAGAUAUCCUAGAGUACUUUAAAUGUAUGUAAAUGAUUGUAUCUUAAUUUGAAGAUAUUUUAUGUAUAUGCAUUUUAUCAUUUGGAACGGGAGGAAGUAAUAACAUGCAUCAUCUAUGGAUAUUUUAUGUGUAUGAUUUUAUCAUUUCGAACGGGAGGAAAACAUAACAUGCAAUCAUGCAUCAUAUAUGUUUCAAAUUUCAACCCUAAAUUUAAAUAUAAAAAUAUCAAAAAUCAUGAAAAAAGUAAUAAAAAAACAUCAAUUUUCAUUUAAUUUAAGAUCCAACAGAGACAACNUUAAAAAAAAAAAAAGUCUGGCUCGCGGAGCCCGGCCGGUACCGUACCGGUCCGGCCGGCGACCGGUACGCCGGACCGGACCGGUACGGCGGACC
rnacentral:lncRNA from 1 species